rnacentral:rRNA from 1 species
AACGAACGCUGGCGGCGUGCUUAACACAUGCAAGUCGAACGAGAAAGCGGGCUUCGGUCCGCUAGUAAAGUGGCAGACGGGUGAGUAACACGUGGGUAACCUGCCCGGAGGUGGGGGACAACCCUCCGAAAGGAGGGCUAAUACCGCAUGAUAUCCCUGAGGCUUCGGCCUUGAGGAUCAAAGCUAGCCUCUACAUGUAAGCUAGCUCCACCGGAGGGG